AUUUUUGUGCUUGGCGCAAUAACGCAGCUAGUGAGGUGCUAACCGUGGCGCGUCUAUUGCUUAUUGAAAACUAUUUCCAAACCUCCUCUUCGGCCUAGGUUUUGCCUGAGUUCUAUACAAGUUCACUGAAGUAAUGGGAACU
rnacentral:snRNA from 1 species